rnacentral:rRNA from 1 species
GACGUAGGGGGCGAGCGUUGUCCGGAAUUACUGGGCGUAAAGAGCACGUAGGCGGGUAAGCAAGUCAGGCGUGAAAGACCGGGGCUCAACUCCGGGGCGGCACCUGAAACUGCUUAUCUUGAGGGCAGGAGAGGAAAGCGGAAUUCCUGGUGUAGCGGUGAAAUGCGUAGAAAUCAGGAGGAACACCAGUGGCGAAGGCGGCUUUCUGGACUGACCCUGACGCUGAGGUGCGAAAGCGUGGGGAG